GACGAACGCUGGCGGCGUGCUUAACACAUGCAAGUCGAACGGAGUGGCGAACGGGUGAGUAACACGUGGGUGACCUGCCCUGCACUUCGGGAUAAGCCUGGGAAACUGGGUCUAAUACCGGAUAGUGUGGGAUGGGCCCGCGGGCUAUCAGCUUGUUGGGGGGGUAAUGGCCUACGAAGGCGGCGACGGGUAGCCGGCCUGAGAGGGUGGACGGCCACAUUGGGACUGAGACACGUCCCAGACUCCUACGGGAUGCAGCAGUGGGGAAUAUUGCACAAUGGGCGGAAGCCUGAUGCAGCGACGCCGCGUGGGGGAUGACGGCCUUCGGGUUGUAAACUCCUUUCACCAUCUACGCGGUAUCUAACCAGUAAGCCACGGCUAACUACGUGCCAGCCGCCGCGGUAAUUC
rnacentral:rRNA from 1 species